CCUUUCAGGUGUAGUCGUACUAUACAACAAUGUUUCUUCAUCAUUUACAUCCUGGAAUUCUGGGCUGAAGGCAUCUUUAAAUAGAUGUGACAGGCGUGGGUUUUUCUUAGCUUCUUCGCACAACAUCAUAACAGUUUCCUCAUCCUUUUCGCCCGAGACAACCCAGGCAACAAGAUCGUCUUCCAUUGUACCUGGACAGCAGUCUUGUAAAGCAGCUAGUAAAUAUUCUUCAGAAUAUCCCAUGGACAUACCCUCAAGAGUCUCUUUUGCACUAGUAAAAGUUUCAAGUAAAUUCUUCCAUCUUUCCAUGUUUGGCUGAAUCAGAUCUAUUUCCUCUUCGACAUUUCCCGUCAGACUUCUCGCACCGUCUGUGUUGCUUGCAAAAUAUUUUUGUUCAUCUUUAAAACCUUCUUCUGUCAAAGAUAUCGAAUUCUCAGGUAUCAUUGUUCUUAAAACAUCUGCAAGAAGCAAAGGAUCAACAUUCUUGUUGACAGUUUCCAGGAGCAUAAAAGUCUGUAAUGGUAGUUCAUCGAUCGCCACCUGGCCAAUGCAAGCUUUUGCUAACUCUUUUCUCAAGUUCAAAAUCUGUUUCAUUGUAAAAUGGUUUAAAGAAUAGCACUCGUGUCUUCUACCAUUUAUAGUUUCUUUCCAUUGCCUCAACUCGUUUUCCAUUGUUUCACAGGUUUCAUCAAUGUUAUUUAACAACUCUUGUCUACGGUCUUCAUUUUUGCUGCACUGAAAUUUUCUUUUCCAUGUAAGAUAGCUGAUUUCACCAACAUCAUAAAGUUUCAAGUAUAAACCACUUACUCUGAGUAUUCCUUCAAAAACCU
rnacentral:lncRNA from 1 species